GAUGGCGUCGGACCGCCAUGUUCUAUCACACGUAGAGUAGAUGAUUACCGCCAAUUCUCUACUCGUAGUGUUGUACAAUCAACCGCGGUAAGUUUAGAUAGGAACUAGGAAUUCGCACGCGUCGCUCUACGCAAGAAGUAACGCAAGUAGCGAGCCUAGCGAAAACAGCGGAUCGCCAUUAAACUGUGUACAGUGAAGAAUCUUACGAUCACGUUGGAUCGUAUCUCGUCCUGACCGGCGACUUGAGGUGAUGCUACCCUGAUUACGUAUCCCCCUCUCGCGCGUCGCAAUGCCUGACCACUACUGCUUUGUGUGUGCGAGCAACGAGGGUGUCUUCCUGGACGUCACUCCUGAUAAUCGUAGUACGUUUGGCGACCAGAUCAGGACGUGUUUGUCCACCAAGAUUAACGAGAGCAUCGAUCUGUCGAACAAGAUAUGUUAUAAAUGCGCGUAUGAAUUAGAUCAGUGCACUAAGUUUGUACAAAAGUAUAGGAACUCGCACAAGGUGCCGGAGCCAAAAGUUGAAACGUCAAUGCGAUGUUGCUUUCUGUGCUACGAAUUAGUGGAAAGUAACCGUAUCUUCGACAUUAGCAAGGACAAGAGCGUAUUUAAUCCUUUACGGAAGAUCCGCAGCAUUUUCAACGAUGACAUUAACAAGAAAAACAAUUCGUGGUUAAUAUGCCUAACGUGUCGAUAUAACUUGGAUGUUUUAUAUGAUCUGAAAAGGAUAUAUCAAGAUUCAUUCAACAAUUUAAAGGCUUUGAUUAAUGAAGAGAUAAACUAUUCAAAUUAUCCAAAGAUACACACAGAUGUUGUAAAUCGCAAAACGACCAUUACCACGUUUCCAGAUAUUACAUUUUAUGGUUCAAUAAAUUCUGAUAGUGAUAGUAACGAGGACAUGGCACGUAGUAAGCGGCACAUUAAAGGACGUAAGGCGCAGAGUAAUGUACAAAUGAAAUCACAAAGCAACAAAUCGAAAGUCAGAAGUUGUGACAAGUGUCAUAAUACUGUUGCGAACGAUAUCGACAUGUACAGAUUUUAUCGCACAGGUCUAACGGUUUGCAAAAAUUGUUGGAUAACGAUGGAUCCGAGUAUUGCUAAGUCGCAGCGACGAUCUCGCCAGAUACAAUCCAAGACAGAAACGAAAUUAUGCGCGGUUUUUUUGAAAGAUGUACUGAGCCAUGAAUCACUUAAGAAAGAGGAGAAAGAUGAAACACAUGAGAUAGAAAAAGACAAAACAUGCGAAACGGAAAAAGACGAAUCACGCCAGACGGUGAAAGACAAAACACGCGAGACGGUGAAAGACAAAACACGCGAGACAGUGAAAGACAAGACAUGCGAGAUGGAGAAAAAUGAAAUACACAAUACAGAGAAAGAUAAGGCACACGAAAUGGAAAAAGAUAAGGAUGAUAAUGCAUCGUUCGUUAAUUCUCAGGAAGAAGCAAAAUAUUCCGAAGAAAGUAGUUCUUUGAGUAUCUCGCCUAAAAUGAGGAAUCACAUAAUUAAUGGUAAAGCAAGACGAGGAAAGAAACGGAAAAUUGGCGUAGUGAGAUCGAGAAGUGAUGUCGAACGUACACCAUCGAAAGUGACAAGAAUCAGUAAUGAACACACGGACACAAACGAGGAGAAAUCAUCAAAAACGACAAUCGACACAGAACAACAGCCCGAUACUCAGUUGAUGAAAACGCGAGGACGUAAAAGAAUAGAUAAUAGGAGUUCGGAUUCUGAAGGUUCUCAAAAGCAAAAAGCGUUUGUUGAUGCAGAGCAACAGUCCAGUACUCAACAGACGAAAAAGCAAGGACGUAAAAGACCAAUAGAUAAUAGAAGUUCGGAUUCUGACAGUCCUCAAAAGCGAAAAAUUUCAGUUGAUGCAGAGCAACAGUCCAACACACAUUUGACGAAAACGCGGGGACGUAAAAGAAUAAUGGAUAAUAAGAGUUCUGAUUCUGAAGGUUCUCAAAAACAAAAAGAGACAGAUAAAAUUAAAUUAAAUGAGAAUGUACAUGAUACAAAGAAAAAACAGAAAAUUAAAGGAACAACCUCAAGCGCGCGUUCUGACUCUAGCGACGAGAUAUCCAUUGAAGAAAAUAAGAGUUUAAAAAAUAGGCUAAAAGUUACGAGUUCGUCGACUACGCCUACAAAAAAAGAACAAGAAAGCAAUAUCCGCAGUAGGACAAGAUCGUCUUCUAUGUCCAGCACAGAAAUGACAUCGACGGAAUUUAAAAGUCCGAAAUCUCUGUCACAGUCAGAAGUUAAAACUGAGUACACUUGCGACAAAUGUAAUAAGAAAUUUGACUCUAAGUUGUCCAGUGCGAAACAUAAAUUGACACAUCUCAAGCAAGCUGCAUUAAAACUAGAAAAGAUAACUGUUGCGAAUAUUAAGGUGAAACAGGAAACAGAUCUCAUUUCACAAGAUGAGAUUUUUGAAGAAGUGACGUCGCGUUCCGAUAGAACUAUAUCCAUCGACAAAUGUACCGAUGAUUCAUUGGAGGACGCAAUUAUCAAUGUCGAAGACAAUACUAACGACGAGCCCUGCAGUUUAGGUGAUACAAAAAAUGCAAAGGAAAAAAUGGAGGAAAAGAAAAGUGACGAAAGUAGUGACACAGACGAAAAACCGGACGUAGCGACGAGUGAAUCGCGCUUAGAAGAAGAAUCUACAAAUGAUGAAAACAUUGAAAAAACAAAAUCUGAAAAAUGUAAAAAUUCUGUUACCUCGGACGAUACAGUAAUAGAGAUAAAGGAUGAUGAAGAUAGAUCGAAUAAAGAUGUAAAGGAUGAACAUACGACGAAGGAUGAGGAUAAAACAUUAGACAGAGACAGUGACAAAUUUGAAGACAAUGAUGCACAGGAGGCUACUGUUGCUAUACUAAAAAAUCAUAAGAACGUGGAGAAUGAAAAUAAGGAGAAAGACAAAGAUGUAGAAAUAAAAAAUGACACGGAAGUUCUUUCCACAGAAAAAGAAAAUAUUAGUGAAUGUAAUAAUGAUAAAGAUGAUAAGGAAGCAACGAGCGAUAAUGAAAUGACUAGCUUAUCAAUUUUAUCAAAUCAUAACAGAACAAAGGAUAACAAGGAUCAAGACGAAAGUUGCGAAAAUAACUUUAUAGAUGAUGAUAGAGAUGAAAUAAUAGAAGAACCAGAAAUACAAAGCGAUUUAAUAGAUGAGUCUUCGAAGAUACAUAUAGAAGAGUCAGAAGAAAAUCUCCCAGAAAUUUUGCCGACUGAUGAAACAGGAACAUUAAAUGAAAAAAAUGAUUUAGAUGACAUAAUAGCGAUAGAAGAGAUCGAACAAUUGCAAAAACAACAAAAUAAGUCCAAUGAAGAAAAUACAGAAGUCGAAAUUAUUGCAGAUGUUGAUGAACCUAAUAGUGUAAGAGAUAUGCCAGAUCUUCUAAAUGGCGAAACACACGACGAAGUGAUGGAAGACGACGUUGAAGAUAUUACAAUAAACAGCGACAACGAUGUCGACGGAACGAAAAAAGAGAUAGAAGACACAGUCCAAACAGAUAAGCACAGAAAAUUAGAAGAAGAGCUGAAGGAGCUCGAGGAGUUGGUAGUCGAGAGUAAUGCAAUGAAUAAUAAGUACGAAGUACAAGAAGAUUCAACUUAUGUUCCGGAUAAUAGCUCUGCGGAUGCGGCAACCGAGAUAUUAAAGGAAGUAUUUGAUCUUGCUGCUGCUGAAGUUCAGCAGCGAGAAGAGAUUAUUACGAAGACUUUAGUAGAGGAUGUCGGAAUGGAAAUGGAAACACUGGAGAACAUAUCACGUGAAAUACGCAAGAGUGCCGAUAUGCCAUCCUUGGAUCCAAUUAGUGUCAUGGAUAUAGACGAUGAUGGUAUUAUGUUGAACUAAUUGUGCCUGUAGCAAAAAAUCACUAUUGUACAUUCGGUCCCGUUUUUAUCUGAGAAAUGUAUCUUCGUCAUGUGUGCAAUGCGUAUCUAUUUACAGCUACAGGGAAUUGAAAUUGGUUGAAAGAAAAAGAGCGUAAAUCGUCGAAUAUCUAUGGAUAUAUUUUAUCACAAACUUAUUCUUCAGUAUGCUGAAGUUUUCAAGUCCAAAAAACGCUUCUACGAUUUUUCCAUUGACAAAGCAUCGUUAUUGCUUUCGGAUCGGCGGUUCCGCACUGCUGCACAAGAUGGAUAUAUUGAUCGAUGAUUUCUUGCCCUGUUAAAAAAAAUGAAGGCAUUUUAAAUAUGUCUCAUAUUACAGUUUACAUAUUGAAGAAGUGUAUAACUAGCCUUUCGAAACUCCGGCAAGGGCUCGCGCCUUAUUAGCAUCGUUGUAUAAACCGAGUUUGUUAUACAAUUCAAAGGAUUUUUCCAAAUGAAAGGUUGCAAUAUCUAGCUUCCUCUAAAAAGAAUACAGACUUGUUUUUACAUUGUUAACUCUCCAAGGAAAUAUUCUAUUAAUAUUUUACGACACUGAUCAGGUAUCACUUAGCGCAUAUGUAAUAAUUUGUAUAUAUUUAAGGUAGAUAUAUUGGCCCGUAUUCAGAACGCGCUUUUAUCGAUAAAUGUGCAUUUUUAUUUCUGAAAUUCCAAGCAAGUCUGUAUGUAAUGUGAAAUGUAUAUGCUAAAUAGGCGCUAUCGUUACAAACGCGUUCUGCUGGACCAUUUUGUACAACAUAAGAAUUCAGGAAAAUGUAAUAAUUUCUCACAUAAGAUAUUCCUCAAUAAUCUUGUCAUUUUUAUCCCCUCCCCCUUUUUUGUUAUCCAAAAUAAUUUUUUA